rnacentral:rRNA from 1 species
AGUAAUCUGCCUUGGAGUGGGGAAUAACGGCUGGAAACAGCCGCUAAUACCGCAUGAAACAGUUGGGAGGCAUCUCUCUGACUGUCAAAGAUUUAUCGCUCUGAGAUGAGCUCGCGUCUGAUUAGCUAGUUGGCGGGGCAACGGCCCACCAAGGCGACGAUCAGUAGCCGGACUGAGAGGUUGGCCGGCCACAUUGGGACUGAGACACGGCCCAGACUCCUACGGGAGGCAGCAG